CCAACUUGGUCCAUUUUUCUUCUCUUUUCUCUUCUUUAGUCCUAACUCUUCACCUUUUUUAUCUUUUUACUUCCUCUUUCUAAAGUUUUGCUUCUUUCCUUCUCCCUCUCACCAAAACAAUUUGCUCACAAAGGAGGAAAAAUGGCACCUUUCGUUUCCCUCUUUUUGUUGCUUCUCUUUCUUAACUACCCCUUCAUUUCCCUUUCAACCAACCCUGAAGGUAUGGCCUACUGCUUCAUUUCUCUCAGCCUUUCUCUUUGCUUUUCAAUUUGGUAUUGUUGGUCAAUUUGGUUUCUCAAAAUUAAUGGCAACUGGGGAACUUAAUAUUCAAAGCUCUUCUUAUGGCUAGCUAGAUCAUAUUAUAUUUCAAUUGUUUAGUUUUCCUUUUUUCUUUCUUUUUUUGUUUCAAAAUGACCAAUUUUUAUUUCAUUGGCCUCUUCUUAGCUAGCAAACAAACUUAAGCUUGGCCUUAAUAGUUUUGAUUUGAUCCAAAUAAUUUGUGUAGGGAACGCUCUGCAUGCUUUGAGAAGCAGGCUUUCUGAUCCCAACAAUAUGUUGUAGAGUUGGGACCCAACACUGGUUAAUCCCUGUACUUGGUUUCUCUAUUUCAAACAGAUUUGUUUCUCUAUUUCUCUUUGAUGCAUAUUCACAAACAUAUGGUGUUCACAACCUAUCUCAACUCCAAACUCAUCCAAUUUCACACCCACCAACAUAUCAAAAUCAUUGAAACAAAAUAAAUGAAAUAGAAAACAAAACAUACAUCAAUAAAAUCAAGCGACCCUUGUAGCUACAAAAAUGAAAUCAAAAUCAAACAAACAUAAACUUGAGAAAAGAAAAAAACAGAGAUGAGCGAGCGAGAGAGAAACCUAUUUGUGAGAGGAAGAAAAGAUUGUGAUGAAUAGAAAGAAAAACUUACUUGUGAGAGAGCGCUACGUGUGGUGUGUGAGAGUGGCUGAGAGGGAGAGAGAGCGCUUGCGUCGUGUGCGUGAGAGGGAGAGAGCGUGUGCGUGAGAAUGGCUAAGUGAGGAAUUUUAAUUCCUUUAUUUUUUGUGAGAAUUUGAAAUUUUGCCAAAUUAAUAUAUUAAAAUGCUUUAAAAAAUGAUGACAUUUUAAUUACUUCUAAAAUAUCAUAUCCAAACAAAUUAUUUUAUAGGAAGACAUUUUAAUAUCCCUGUUGAAAUACUUUACCUGCUUUAAUUUCCCCAUCCAAACAUACUCUGAAUGAGUUCCCAUCGGAAUAAGUUGAUCCCUAAAUGAAGGGAUUAAUAGAUUAAAGAGAUUAGCAGGAAAAUUUAUCGCAAACCUAAAACUGAAUGGGAUUGUAAACCUACUAUGAGGGUCUCCGAGAGAAAUAGGAUUUACAGGGGAUAAAAACCACUAAAUUGAAUGUAACUGGUUAUAACCACAUGUUAGAAAAUAAGUGUUAGUUGUUAUUUACGAUUAAUUUUUGUAUUGAAUAGUUACAUAAAAUUAACAUGUUUUCUCCAAUUUAUGGUUCUUUGUGUAGGAAUUGUAAAUAUUUUCAUGUUUGGUUUGAUUUUAUAUAGUAGAUACUUCCAUUUUGUGAAUUAAUGUUGAAACCACUUCAAUUUCAUGCUAAAAGAAGAGAAGGUUCAAGCAGCUGGUGUCUCGCUAAGCGAGGCAUAUGCGCUUAGCGAAUGACAUCCGUUAAGCAAGGCACGCAGCUCGCUUAGCGUGUUGGAAAACCCUAGAAGAGAUCAGUUAGAGAUGUGCUCGCCCAACAUGCCACAACUCGUCCAGCAAGUCGUUUGUCUCUUCUCGCGCUCAGCACGCCCAGCUCACUAAGCCAAAUUUCACUAACUCGCGCUUAGCGAGCCAAUCUCGCUAAACGAGCCUUCAGAAUCUGAAACGUCAAGGAGCCUUUAAAACACUGAAGUUGACGGAAACUAAAAAAAGAGGAGUAAAAAAACAGAGCCAAAGGAGAAGCUAGAGCGACAAAAACGAAGCAACCAAGAGAGUCUAGGUUAGAGGAGUGAGAUUAGGGUUCUAGAAGUUGAAGGUGAGAUCCUCAACCAUCCUUAGCCAUUUUCUUCCCUCAAAAUCUGUCCUUUGUAUUGAAAGUUCAUUACUUGUAAUGGAAGGUUAAACCUUUUGGUCGGGGAGUUCUGUUGAACCUUUGAUGUAAUACUCUUUCACUAUCUAUUUAAUAUUAUUUUUAUGUGUUCAUUGUUUCUA
rnacentral:lncRNA from 1 species